AGAUGGCAAAGAUUCAAGAAGCUGGUGUGGACCCGUCUGCCCCAGAGGCAGGACCUUGCAGCACUGUCCUGCUUCCUUCUCCCAGUGCUCAGGUCCCUGGCCCACCGGGAGCCCACCAUGUCACUGGAGGAGGGCCUGAAGCUAGGGUUGCAGGAAUGGGGGCGCACAGGAGCCUCUGAGCGAUUGGCCUUCCAUGAGAUGGCUGUGAGGUUCUUGGAGCUUGAGGCCCAGGAGGAGAUGCAGAAGUUGACAUGGA